rnacentral:rRNA from 1 species
GAUGAACGCUGGCGGCGUGCCUAAUACAUGCCAGUCGAGCGAACAGACGAGGAGCUUUCUCCUCUGACGUUAGCGGCGGACGGGUGAGUAACACGUGGAUAACCUACCUAUAAGACUGGGAUAACUUCGGGAAACCGGAGCUAAUACCGGAUAAUAUAUUGAACCGCAUGGUUCAAUAGUGAAAGACGCUUUUGCUGUCACUUAUAGCUGGUUCCGUGUCGCAUUAGCUAGUUGGUAAGGUAACGGCUUACCAAGGCGACGAUGCGUAGCCGACCUGAGAGGAUGAUCAGCCACACUGGAACUGAGACACGGUCCAGACUCCUACGGGAGGCAGCAGUGGGGAAUAUUGGACAAUGGGCGAAAGCCUGACGCAGCCACACCGCGUGGGUGAAGAAGGUCUUCGGGUCGUAAAGCUCUGUUGUUGGGAAAGAAAAGCAGCAGGUGAAUAUCUCGACGUCUUGACGGUACCCAAAGAGAAAGCACCGGCUAACUACGUG